GCGGGAUGAGCUCAAAUUUAAAAUCUGGCUGGUUUACUAGUCCGAAUUGUAGUUUAAAGAAGCGUUUUCGGUGGCAGCCUGGGGUAUAAAUCCUUUGGAACAGGGUAUCAUAGAGGGUGAGAAUCCCGUCUUUGACUCAGUGCAUGCUACUAUGUGAUACGUUUUCAAAGAGUCGAGUUGUUUGGGAAUGCAGCUCAAAAUGGGUGGUAAAUUUCAUCUAAGGCUAAAUAUUGGCGAGAGACCGAUAGCGAACAAGUACCGUGAGGGAAAGAUGAAAAGAACUUUGAAAAGAGAGUUAAACAGUGCGUGAAAUUGUUGAAAGGGAAACGCUUGACACCAGUCAUGCGAGCGGAAAAUCAGUCUUUUGCAGUGGGGAGUUGUGUGGGUUCGGACCGCAAGGCCGGCCUGCGCUGCAUCUCUGCUGUAAGUGAUGCACUUUUUCGUUUGCAGGCCAACAUCAGUUUCUUCUGCUGGACAAAACUCUUGAGAAGGUAGCAGCUUUGGCUGUGUUAUAGCUCUUGAGCGAUACAGUGGAGGGGACUGAGGUUUUCGCAGCGCGUGCUCUCGGGCAAGGCUGAUUGGGUGCUAUGGGAUCGUUCGGUGUACAAUGCAUGCAUUUUGCGCCGUGUCUUUUCUAUACUCGCUCAACUCGGCUCUCCGCGC
rnacentral:rRNA from 1 species